rnacentral:rRNA from 1 species
UACAGGGGGGUGCAAACGUUGCUCGGAAUUAUUGGGCGUAAAGCGCACGUAGGCGGUUUGUUAUGUCGGAUGUGAAAGCCCUUGGCUCAACUGAGGAAGUGCAUCCGAAACUGGCAAGCUAGAGUAUGUAAGAGGGUCGCGGAAUUCCCGGUGUAGAGGUGAAAUUCGUAGAUAUCGGGAGGAACACCGGUGGCGAAGGCGGCGACCUGGGACAAUACUGACGCUGAGGUGCGAAAGCGUGGGGAGCAAA